CAGCACCAGAGGGUUGAUUUGAAAAUGGGUGAAGAAAGAAUUGGAAUGGUGGGAAAAUAUCUAGAUGCCUGUCAGUCUGCAAGAAGAUCAUCUUAGUGUCUCCAGAAACCACCGUCCUUAAGAUAUUUCUACUUGAGCAACAGGAAACAAUGCUUUCACUUCCAGUGGGAUCAUGGGCCGUAGUAAGGAUGUUGCUGAAGUUGUUUGUGGCAUUAUUUUCUGGUCAGUGAGAGCAGCUCUUCGCAGAAUGAAAAUAUCCUGAAGAAGCAAAGCUAGAAAAUUGAAAAACAAAGACUAGGUUUUUUAUAGAUUGCAAACCAUGCUGAAAAACACCAAACAUGGCACUGGUUUUAACAAGGUAGGUAAGUACUGGAGUUUACUUAGAAGAGAAGUUGGCAAUAAAGUAGAAGUAGAAGUUGAUAUCAGACUAUCACAACUAGCUUCACCAGCUUGGGUAAUUUACUAAGAUUCCUUGAGCCUUGCUACAGUAACUUAAAAUUAGAUAUUUAAACUAUCAAAUACAGUAAAUAAGUUUCCAAUCCUUUGCACUAUUGGCUUAUUGAAAUGCUGUAUUAAGAGAGAUUCUAAAGUCAUAUUUUACCACAGCAGAAAAUGUAUUAUAAAAUAAGAAAGAAGUGGCAAAUGUGGCAUAUAUGUGUCACCUAGUUCCAACUUAAUAUUUUAUUACUAUAACUUAAAAGAUGGUAUGAGAACUGAAAUGUUAUAUGAGAGUCGUUUAAAGAAACUAUUGCAGUUCGGCUUAGGAAAAGAGAAAACUAGAAGAAUAUAUUCUCUCAAAUAUUUGACUUGAGUUCCUUAACAGAACAGAACUAGAAUUACUUGUUGGAAAUUACGGUGAGAUUUUGACUUCAAAAAGAAAAAAAAUUCUAGUAAUAAGAAUGUCUACUAAUCAAACAAGAUGCUUUUUUUGUUGGAUUUAUUGGCAAGAAGCUAGAUCACUACAGAGGCUGCUUCAGAAAUUACUUAUAUGAGAACAAUAAAAUGAAGAAUAUUUACUACAUGUCAGACACUAUGUUAAUAAUUUUCACAUACAUAACAUGAUAGUAGGUGAUUAGAAUCAAUUUUCACACAUAAUAGACACUCUGUAUCCAUCACGGUGGAGUAGAAGGAAAAAGUUAUUGAUCAGUCUGAGAAGACAAUAGUUUUGAAUGCAUUUUCAAACUAAUUUAUCCCCAUAAAUAAGCCAACUUUAAUUAAUUCACGUACACUUUCAGUUAAUGUUCUGUCAGAAUUUCUCUUACAAAGUUUCAUCUCAAACCCUGUCUGACAUAUCAAGGAAGAGAAAAGCAAAGCUAUGAGGUAAAACGGAGUCAACCAGCUGCCAACUUUAAUACAUUUCUUUUAUUCUCAAUUGUCUUAGCUCACUUAGUGAAAAACUGCAGCAAAAGAAAAAUAGUCCACUAGGGAAAAAUAAUGUUGCAAAGCAGUAAAGUCUUUAAAUUUCAAAGGAAAAAAAGUUAUGUAUAUUAAAUAGAAAUACUGGUAUGUUUUUAUCACAAAUAUGAGCUAAUUUCUUUUUAAGCCUAUAUUCUUUCUUUUUUGUUUUAUUCUUAAUUGACACAUAAAAACUGUACAUAUUUAUGGGAUUUAGUAUAAUGUUUCAAUACAUGUAUAUAAUAUAUGAUAUUAGGACAAUUAGCAUAUCAGUCACCUCAAACAUUAAUAAUUUUUUAUGGUGAGAACAUUUAAAAUCCUCCCUUCAAGCUAUUUUGAAGUAUACAAUAGAUUACUGUUAACUAAAGUCACCCUACUGUGAAAUGGAACAUUAGAACUUAUUCCUCCUAUCUAACUGUAACUCCUUACCCAUUUCCCAACGUCUCCACUCUCCCCCUACCC
rnacentral:lncRNA from 10 species